CCAUUGCAGGCAAAACAGGCUCACCUUGGGGAAAUUAAUUUAUUGCCAAUUCGUGUAUAUAAAUAUAAUUACCAAUUUGGGUAUUGGGAAAUAAAGCAACAAAUAUUAAAACACAUGGGAAAACUCCUUCCCUCCCUGUUUCCCAGGCUCACUUCGUUCUUUCUCUCCUGUCCUACCAGCUCCUUACCACCACAGGUCACACUCAGUCCCUUCAGCGAGGAAAAGAGUGGGGCAAGGGGGGGACGUUACAAUCAGCGCAUAGCAGUUUCUCUAUGAUACUCCUUUUGCCUCAGAGUUUUCCUCUGCUCUGGCACAGGUCCUCAGAGGUUGCAGGGAGUGUCUGCUCUGCCGUGGAGCGCUUCCUCUUCCUCCUUCUCUUCCUCCUCCGUGGAAGCCAGCUGGCACUGGCUGUGUCCAGUACAGUGGCCUUUUCUCACAAAGCCACCCCUGCAGCCCCCCACUGCCAACACCUUGACAUCUGUACCCACUGCGGGACUCAGAGUUACGGAAUCACAGAAUAACUUGGAAAGGACCUUUGGAGGUCAUCUGGGGCCAUCUUCCUCUGCCUUCCUCCUGCCAAAAAGACCAGUUUUGCAGGUCGAUCAGGCUGCUACCAGCAUUGCCCAAGCAAAUUUUUGAUGUCUCCAAAGGCAAUUAUUCUGCAUCUUCUUUAGACAACUUAACUUACCCCAUUAUUUGAGCAUCAUUGCUGUGAAGAAUUUUUCCUUAUAUUUACUUAAAAUUUCCCCCAAGAGCAGUCCAGUUCUGUUUAGCCUGUAACUACCAACAGGUAGUACAAGGCAGCAAUUUGAUUCCUCCAUGGCUGCCUUUCCAGUUUAAAGAGAGACAAUCUUGUAGAGGACAGAAACAGUAAGGUUGGUGUUGAGAGAUAUCAGUUGUUUAGCUUAAAUAAGUAAGUUUUAAUUAGAAUAAAUUACUUAGGGUUAUGAUAUAAUGUGAUUUAUUCUGUUUGCUUAGCUUUGCUUAGCAUGAGUAGCUGCAGAUUUGCCAAAGCCUUUAGGCCGCAAUAGUUAAUUUUCUUAGUAAUUUUCCUAUCAGCUGGUUCAGUGCUGUGUUUAGUCUUUCAGUGUAAGAAAAAUAUCGAUAAUACCCUGAUGUUUUGGUAUUGUUUUCCCUAAGUCUGGGACUUUUCAGUUCCCCAUGUUCUGCCAGCGAGUGCAGGUGCACAAGAAGCAUAAACGAGAAGAUAAGGAGGCUACAACCACCAGCAGAGACUGCAAAUCAACAAGAUCAGAGCAGUCAACGGCCUGACUGCCUGGACACAGAGAAAGAAUCCGGUACGGUGUUAGAAUACCGCAGACCAAAAAUCACCAUUGGACUAAAAGACAUGUGAAGAGCAUGUGAGGAGUGGGUGUAUACAUCGCAAGGAUAUAAUUGCAAGGAAGCCCGACAAGACCACUGGGACUGAGUAAAUAAUUGUCAGAGGACUUUGAAGGCUGAAGCCUUGUCCACCUGUGUGCAAAGCUUUCAGAAUAUAUUCAACUACUUUUCUGUGAGACCAAAGGACACUUCACUGAGAAAAAAAAUAUCUCACCUUGUAGAAAGUUUGUCACUGGAAGAUAUCAGUUUCUCAUACCUGAAUGAAUUAAUGGAAACGGAUGGAUUCCAAUAGGCUUAUAUUUUCCUGAAACUUUCAAAAAAGGACCUUCGUCCAUGCAGAAAAUCCUAUCUUCAGCCUCCAGGGGACUGAGAUUUUGGCAGCCUCCAGGCCCUAACGCUACUCACUACUGCCAGUUUAGCUGAUCUGCAUUUGACGCCCUUUUCUUCAAGUUCACAAGCUGAUGUCCACAAGCUCCUGUCUAGAAGCCGUGGUGAAGAACAUAAGCCAGUAGAUGGGGUGUGCUGGGUAUGCAGAAGAGAGAAGAAGUGACUGGGGAAGAACUGGCCGGGCUGUAUUCUUUGCAGCUAUCAGGUCUGAGGUGGCCUUGCCACCCAGCUGCUAGAAACAAAAAUCACAUUUUUCCAUUGACUGGGUCUUCUGCUUCUGGAAAACUGUCUACCUUCCAUGGCAUGUGCAAUUUGUAGAGGAAUUCUGAAAAAAAUAAUCAUGUAUUUACAUCUAAAAUGAUAAGCGUUCUGGUUAAUAUUGUGUCCUUCUGAUUGACACUGCUGAGGGUAUGCUGAAUUUGUUUUGCAUAGCAUCUCUGUUUUCAACAUGGAACGAGUUUUUGCACUGGUUGCAGUUCACUGCUGCACCAGCUGACAGGGAAGGCAAUGAGGGAAGCGAUGGCAACUUGGCGUUUGGUAAAUC